rnacentral:rRNA from 1 species
CCUACGGGUGACAGCAGUGAGGAAUAUUGGUCAAUGGACGAGCGUCUGAACCAGCCAAGUAGCGUGAAGGAUGACUGCCCUAUGGGUUGUAAACUUCUUUUAUAUGGGAAUAAAAUGUUCCACGUGUGGGAUUUUGUAUGUACCAUAUGAAUAAGGAUCGGCUAACUCCGUUCCAGCAGCCGCGGUAAUACGGAGGAUCCGAGCGUUAUCCGAAUUUUUUGGGUUUAAAGGGAGCGUAGGUGGAUUGUUAAGUCAGUUGUGACAGUUUGCGGCUCAACCGUAAAAUUGCAGUUGAAACUGGCAGUAUUGAGUACAGUAGAGGUGGGCGGAAGUCGUGGUGUAGCGGUGAAAUGCUUAGAUAUCACGAAGAACUCCGAUUGCGAAGGCAGUUCACUGGACUGCAACUGACACUGAGGCUCGAAAGUGUGGGUAUCAAACAGGAUUAGAUACCCUAGUAGUC